rnacentral:lncRNA from 1 species
UACUGCCUCAUCAAACAUAUGCCACAAUGAUAAGAGCCAUCCUGAUUUCAGAAGUGUGCAUUGUAAGGCAGAAAAAUAUAUCCUCAUGCUCCAAGGUCACUAGGACAAUGGAUACAGCAGAAAGCCAGUUCCCUCAAAUCUCCCCUUGUGAUUCAUUACCUCCUUCUUGUCCCAUCCCAAGGGAGGUGGAAAAACGACCAGGAAGAGAAGACACUUUUAGAAGCCUCAGGAGAGCCUGAGAGAGCAGUUACUGAUGCUAACUGAAACCUUCACUUAUUUGUCCUCUAUGCGGCAAGACCCACAAUGCACACUCCA